AUCGAACGCUGGCGGCAGGCUUAACACAUGCAAGUCGAGCGGGGUGAUGGUGCUUGCACUAUCACUUAGCGGCGGACGGGUGAGUAAUGCUUAGGAAUCUGCCUAUUAGUGGGGGACAACAUCUCGAAAGGGAUGCUAAUACCGCGUACGUCCUACGGGAGAAAGCAGGGGAUCACUUGUGACCUUGCGCUAAUAGAUGAGCCUAAGUCGGAUUAGCUAGUUGGUGGGGUAAAGGCCUACCAAGGCGACGAUCUGUAGCGGGUCUGAGAGGAUGAUCCGCCACACUGGGACGGAGACACGGCCCAGACUCCUACGGGAGGCAGCAGUGGGGAAUAUUGGACAAUGGGGGGGACCCUGAUCCAGCCAUGCCGCGUGUGUGAAGAAGGCCUUAUGGUUGUAAAGCACUUUAAGCGAGGAGGAGGCUCUUUUGGUUAAUACCCAAGAUGAGUGGACGUUACUCGCAGAAUAAGCACCGGCUAACUCUGUGCCAGCCGCCGCCGUAA
rnacentral:rRNA from 1 species